UUGACCUCGGAUCAGGUAGGGAUACCCGCUGAACUUAAGCAUAUCAAUAAGCGGGAG
rnacentral:rRNA from 1 species